AUUGAACGCUGGCGGCAGGCUUAACACAUGCAAGUCGAGCGGAGAUGAGGUGCUUGCACCUUAUCUUAGCGGCGGACGGGUGAGUAAUGCUUAGGAAUCUGCCUAUUAGUGGGGGACAACAUUCCGAAAGGAAUGCUAAUACAGCAUACGCCCUACGGGGGCAAGCAGGAGAUCUUCGGACCCUGCGCUAAUAGAUGAGCCUAUGUCGGAUUAGCUAGUUGGUGGGGUAAAGGCCUACCAAGGCGACAAUCUGUAGCGGGUCUGAGGGGAUGAUCCGCCACACUGGGACUGAGGCACGGCCCAGACUCCUACGGGAGGGAGCAGUGGGGAAUAUUGGACAAUGGGCGGAAGCCUGAUCCAGCCAUGCCGCGUGUGUGAAGAAGGCCUUUUGGUUGUAAAGCACUUUAAGCGAGGAGGAGGCUACCUGGAUUAAUACUCUAGGAUAGUGGACGUUACUCGCAGAAUAAACACCGGCUAACUCUGUGCCAGCAGCCGCCGUAAAAC
rnacentral:rRNA from 1 species